rnacentral:tRNA from 1 species
UGGUGGUUCGGUGGCAGAAUUCUUGCUUUCCAUGUAGGAGACCCAGGUUCGAUUCCUGGCCA